CUACACUGAAAAAACGAACUUGGUGGUGUAGUAAAAUAUACUAAUUAAACUGUCCUGAUGUCUACAAUUAAAUUUUUCGUUUCUGCGGGAACUAGAUUUUGUCAAGUAAAAUUACAUGUAUGUACACAAUUUAUUUAUGUAUUUAAAAUGGCUGUGUGGAAGGAGUAAGUCUUAUUAUGGAUGUUUUCAUAACAUUUAAAUGUUUUUUAGUCUCUGCUAGAAACACUAAAAUACUGAGUAAAUUUUACGACACUAUUUUAGAGUGCGUUUGAAUCAGCGCAUGCGCAUUGGGACAAACGAAAGUACCGCGCAGAUGUCCAUUGUCCGUCCGUUCGUUGGCAGCAGACAGAGUUGUGAAUAUCUCCGGAAUCUCUCAGGCGACUGUUUUUGUAUUUAGCCGGCUGGGACAUGAGGUGACCAGAGAGAGUCAGGAGCGCUGGGCUGUUCAGUGACUAAUCAAAUACUGCACCGUUGUGAUUAGAUCAAGGAGGAGUUUUGGAGAAUAACUACAAUUUCUCUAGAGCAAAGCUUCAUGUACAAACUAGACCACUAUACACCAAAGCUUACUGCCCUGAUGAAAGCCAAGGGAGGUGUUGGAGGCAGGCUGAGGCCCCAUCUGGAUAAACUGAGUCAGAACCCGAGCACUGACAUGUGACGUGACGCAGUUAUCAGUGGCCUCAUACUAUUCCUUGGUGAAAAAGAAGAGAAACUUUUCGAAGAUUGCCUGGAGGACAAUCGCAGUGAUGCCACUCAACACAUAGUCAAGAUCCUGGUUGUCCAUGGUACUGAUGGAGAAGAACCAGUAGAUGUUUCCAUCAUUCUUGAAGGGAAGGAGGUAUUGACACGAUGCAACAGCACAGCCAAAGCUUGCACGUUGCUAAUGGGACUGAUUUAUUCCCUGAACCUUGCCUACCCCUGGACUCUGCGCUACACCUUUGAGGUGUUUCAAAAACUUUUCCUGGAACUGAAUGGGAUAAAGCUGUCACCAAAAGUACAUCUUUAAAGUUGAAGUUGCUGUCUGAAAGGAGUUUUCUUUCUUAAAUGUUCCUAAUGUUGUCAACAAAGGCAACUGCUGUCAUUCAUGCUCACAAGGUAAAAAAAAAGUUAAAAAUAACCUUUGUUUUAAAGGUUUUAACAGAGGAUUUGAUGUUGUCCUCAAACUUUAAUGUUUUAACCGAAUGCUAAUAUAAAUAUGUUAAUGGAUGUUGCGGUUUAGAAUGUUGUUCAUGUCAGUACAGCAUAUUUUGUCAGGUCAAACCCUCAAUCUGUUUUGUCACCUGAUGUGCCCUGUUUAGUUUAAUGCGUCCAGGAGUCAAAAACAUUUUGAUUUUCCAGUGAUAUGCUUUUUUUCUGUAUAGCGUAAUGAUCACUCAGUAAAGGUAAACUUUUUUCUUUAUUGAUGCUUGAUUGAUGCUUUAUUGAUUUACUGCUGCUGAGAUUUCAUUUAAUUUUUUGUCAUGUGAAAUGUUGACUGCUGUUUCAUGUACAGUUCUACAUAGCUGUAUAAAAUGAGGUGUUACGUAAGGUACCUGACAAAGGUUUAUGAAUAAAUAAUGGAAUUGUAUUUUAGCCGUGUGAUUAUUAAUAGUAUUUGGUAAUAUUUAUCAAAAGAGAAUUUGCAACAUUUACAUAAAUGAAUUAGGUAAUAUAACUUCAAACAACCAAGUAAUUAAAAUGAUCAAACAGGAUAAAAAGUACUUGAUAAUUUUACGACAGUAAAUAUCAAAGAUAAAUAAAAUCUACUCAAUAUUUUGAUGUUGUAAAUGUAUAUGUAUACAAAAAAUAUAGUAUAUUGUACUUAAUUUGUGUGUGUAAUAAAAAUUGAAACAUCAGUUAAACUAAGUAACACUUACCUAAUAUUUUCACAAAUGUUACCAUCAGAAAUAAGUAGAUUUUACUUAAUACUAUUAAGGAACUUUUACUGGAUAUCACAGCAGUAAAAUUUACUCAAAAAUUUUGAGUGCAAAUUGUUACGAG
ensembl:lncRNA